rnacentral:rRNA from 1 species
CGGGUGAGUAACGCGUGAGUAACCUGCCUUACACAAGGGGAUAGCCUUUGGAAACGAAGAAUAAUACCCUAUAAAACUAUAAAAGCACAUGCUAGAAUGGUCAAAGUGCUAGUGGUGUAAGAUGGACUUGCGUCUGAUUAGCUAGUUGGUGAGAUAAAAGCUCACCAAGGCAACGAUCAGUAGCCGGCUUGAGAGAGUGUACGGCCACAUUGGGACUGAGACACGGCCCAG